rnacentral:rRNA from 1 species
AUUGAACGCUGGCGGCAGGCCUAACACAUGCAAGUCGAACGAGUGGCGGACGGGUGAGUAAUGUCUGGGAACCUGCCUGGUGGAGGGGGAUAACUACUGGAAACGGUAGCUAAUACCGCAUACUAUCGGAUGUGCCCAUAUGGGAUUAGCUUGUUGGUGGGGUAACGGCUCACCAAGGCGACGAUCCCUAGCUGGUCUGAGAGGAGGACCAGCCACACUGGAACUGAGACACGGUCCAGACUCCUACGGGAGGCAGCAGUGGGGAAUAUUGCACAAUGGGCGCAAGCCUGAUGCAGCCAUGCCGCGUGUAUGAAGAAGGCCUUCGGGUUGUAAAGUACUUUCGGCGGGGAGGCGGUACCCGCAGAAGAAGCACCGGCUAACUCCGUGCCAGCAGCCGCGGUAAUAC